AUUGAACGCUGGCGGUAGGCCUAACACAUGCAAGUCGAGCGGAUGAAGGGAGCUUGCUCCUGGAUUCAGCGGCGGACGGGUGAGUAAUUCCUAGGAAUCUGCCUGGCAGUGGGGGAUAACGUCCGGAAACGGGCGCUAAUACCGCAUACGUCCUGAGGGAGAAAGUGGGGGAGCUUCGGACCUCACGCCAUCACAUGAGCCUAGGUCGGAUUAGCUAGUUGGUGGGGUAAAGGCCUACCAAGGCGACGAUCCGUAACUGGUCUGAGAGGAUGAUCAGUCACACUGGAACUGAGACACGGUCCAGACUCCUACGGGAGGCAGCAGUGGGGAAUAUUGGACAAUGGGCGCAAGCCUGAUCCAGCCAUACCGCGUGGGUGAAGAAGGUCUUCGGAUUGUAAAGCACUUUAAGUUGGAAGGAAGGGCAGUAAGUUAAUACCUUGCUGUUUUGACGUUACCAAAAGAAUAAGCACCGGCUAACUUCGUG
rnacentral:rRNA from 1 species